rnacentral:rRNA from 1 species
UACGUAGGGGGCAAGCGUUGUCCGGAUUUAUUGGGCGUAAAGAGCUCGUAGGCGGUUCGACAAGUCGGAUGUGAAAUCUCCACGCUCAACGUGGAGGGGCCAUUCGAAACUGUCGUGACUUGAGUCCGGUAGGGGAGUGUGGAAUUCCCGGUGUAGCGGUGAAAUGCGCAGAGAUCGGGAGGAACACCCGUAGCGAAGGCGAAUCUCUGGACAGUUACUGACACUGAGGCACGAAGGCCAGGGGAGCAAACGGG